rnacentral:lncRNA from 1 species
AUGGCUGGUGAAGAGUCUCACUGGACUGGAACUCUUUGACCAAGAGUCCAAAUACUUGAAGACUCUGUGAUUGAGAAUCAGGAUUCUCUGAUCAUGAGUUUCACACAUUUUGGGUACCGGGGUCAAGAGUCCCACUGGUUUGGGACUCUUCGAUCAAGGUUUCAUAUCGAUGGACUUUGAUGCCCGAUUGCCCAUCAGAUUUGGACUCAAUAUUUAUGAGAGGUUUAAUUAAUAAUUUGAUCACUAAUUAACUCAAUUUGAUUGAUUAAUUAUUUUUGAAUCAAGUCCAAUUGAAUUGGAUUCAGUUGGGAUUGACCCGAUU